AGUGAACGCUGGCGGCGUGCUUAACACAUGCAAGUCGAACGAGAACGGAAUAUAGCUUGCUAUAUUUGUCAGCUAAGUGGCGCACGGGUGAGUAAUAUAUAGAUAACCUGCCCUUAGGAAAGGAAUAACAGUUGGAAACGACUGCUAAUGCCCUAUAUGCCUUUAAUACAUAAGUAUGCAAGGGAAACGCUUUAGUGCUUAAGGAUGGGUCUGUAUGGUAUCAGCUUGUUGGUGAGGUAAUGGCUCACCAAGGCUAUGACGCCUAACUGGUUUGAGAGGAUGAUCAGUCACACUGGAACUGAGACACGGUCCAGACUCUUACGGGAGGCAGCAGUGGGGAAUAUUGCACAAUGGACGAAAGUCUGAUGCAGCAACGCCGCGUGGAGGAUGACACAUUUCGGUGCGUAAACUCCUUUUAUAUAGGAAGAUAAUGACGGUACUAUAUGAAUAAGCACCGGCUAACUCCGUGCCAGCCGCCGCGGUAA
rnacentral:rRNA from 1 species